GACGAAGGGGGCUAGCGUUGUUCGGAAUUACUGGGCGUAAAGCGAGUGUAGGCGGUUGCCCAAGUCAGGUGUGAAAGCCUUGAGCUCAACUCAAGAAAUGCACUUGGUACUGGGUGGCUAGAGGGCCGGAGAGGAUAGUGGAAUUCCCAGUGUAGUGGUGAAAUACGUAGAGAUUGGGAAGAACACCAGUGGCGAAGGCGGCUAUCUGGACGGUUACUGACGCUAAGACUCGAAAGCGUGGGGAGCAAACAGG
rnacentral:rRNA from 1 species